rnacentral:rRNA from 1 species
GUGCACCAGGCGAGAAUCCUUCGCAAUGCGGGAAACCGCGACGAGGGGACUCCCAGUGCCUACGCUCAGCGUAGGCUGUUCCCGAGCCUAGAAAGCUCGGGGAGUAAGGGCUGGGUAAGACGGGUGCCAGCCGCCGCGGUAAUACCCGCAGCCCGAGUGGUGGCCACUAUUAUUGGGCCUAAAGCGUCCGUAGCCGGCCCGGUAAAUGCCUGGGUAAAUCGUGAGGCCUAACCUCACGAAUUCCGGGUAGACUGCCGGGCUAGGGACCGGAGGAGGGAGAGGGUACUCCAGGGGUAGGGGUGAAAUCCUGUAAUCCCUGGAGGACCACCGGUGGCGAAGGCGCUCUCCUAGGACGGGUCCGACGGUGAGGGACGAAAGCCAGGGGAGCGAACCGGAUUAGAUACCCCCGUAGU